UACGUAGGCAGCGAGCGUUGUUCGGAGUUACUGGGCGUAAAGAGUGCGUAGGCGGUUUUCUAAGUUUGGUGUGAAAUCUCCCGGCUUAACUGGGAGGGUGCGGCGAAAACUGGAAGGCUUGAGUAUGGGAGAGGUAAGCGGAAUUCCUGGUGUAGCGGUGAAAUGCGUAGAUAUCAGGAGGAACACCUGCGGUGUAGACGGCUUACUGGACCAUAACUGACGCUGAGGCACGAAAGCGUGGGGAUCGAACAGG
rnacentral:rRNA from 1 species